UACGUAGGAUGCAAGCGUUAACCGGAUUUAUUGGUUUUAAGGGGUGUGUAGGCGGCGUAUUAAGUUAGGGGUGAAAACGGUCGGCUUAACCGGAUACCCGCCAUUGAUACUGAUAGACUUGAGUGCGACAGAGGGUGUUGGAAUGUGUGGUGUAGAGGUGAAAUGCUUAGAUAUCACGCAGAACACAAAUUGCGAAGGCAGAUGCCUAUGUCGUAACUGACGCUGAGGCACGAAAGCGUGGGGAGCAAACAGG
rnacentral:rRNA from 1 species